rnacentral:rRNA from 1 species
GCAAGUCGAGCGGGGGAAGGUAGCUUGCUACUGGACCUAGCGGCGGACGGGUGAGUAAUGCUUAGGAAUCUGCCUAUUAGUGGGGGACAACAUUCCGAAAGGAAUGCUAAUACCGCAUACGUCCUACGGGAGAAAGCAGGGGACCUUCGGGCCUUGCGCUAAUAGAUGAGCCUAAGUCGGAUUAGCUAGUUGGUGGGGUAAAGGCCUACCAAGGCGACGAUCUGUAGCGGGUCUGAGAGGAUGAUCCGCCACACUGGGACUGAGACACGGCCCAGACUCCUACGGGAGGCAGCAGUGGGGAAUAUUGGACAAUGGGGGGAACCCUGAUCCAGCCAUGCCGCGUGUGUGAAGAAGGCCUUAUGGUUGUAAAGCACUUUAAGCGAGGAGGAGGCUACUAGUAUUAAUACUACUGGAUAGUGGACGUUACUCGCAGAAUAAGCACCGGCUAACUCUGUGCCAGCAGCCGCGGUAAUACAGAGGGUGCGAGCGUUAAUCGGAUUUACUGGGCGUAAAGCGUGCGUAGGCGGCCAUUUAAGUCAAAUGUGAAAUCCCCGAGCUUAACUUGGGAAUUGCAUUCGAUACUGGAUGGCUAGAGUAUGGGAGAGGAUGGUAGAAUUCCAGGUGUAGCGGUGAAAUGCGUAGAGAUCUGGAGGAAUACCGAUGGCGAAGGCAGCCAUCUGGCCUAAUACUGACGCUGAGGUACGAAAGCAUGGGGAGCAAACAGGAUUAGAUACCCUGGUAGUCCAUGCCGUANACGAUGUCUACUAGCCGUUGGGGCCUUUGAGGCUUUAGUGGCGCAGCUAACGCGAUAAGUAGACCGCCUGGGGAGUACGGUCGCAAGACUAANACUCANAUGAAUUGACGGGGGCCCGCACAAGCGGUGGAGCAUGUGGUUUAAUUCGAUGCAACGCGGAGAACCUUACCUGGCCUUGACAUACUAGAAACUUUCCAGAGAUGGAUUGGUGCCUUCGGGAAUCUAGAUACAGGUGCUGC